GUGGCUGGGGCUCAGUGGUAGAGCACUUGCCUAGCAUGCGUGAGGCCCUGGGUUCCAUCCUCAGCACCACG
rnacentral:tRNA from 1 species